UUUUGUCGUCUUCUCUAUCAUUUGGAGAAAGAAACCACGACGUCUUCUCUCAUCUUCUCCGUCAGAGACGAUCGACGAUUCGAUCAGUCCUCACGGCGUCUCGUCCUUCUUUUCUCUUGUUCUCCGUCAGACGAUCGAUCCUCACGGCGUCUCGUCCGUCUUCUUUCUUGUUCUCCGUCAAACGAUCGAUCGAAACCCAUCUCUCUCUCACCCUUUCUCACACCACCAUCCUCUUCUGUUCCCCUGUCCUCGCAUCAACAGCCCCCUUCACCUCAAUCUCCGACCAAUCCACCGUGAACGCGUUUCGUAAUCUCAAGUUUCUUGGUAAGAGCUCGGUUCAGGUUCCGUAUAGUGGGGAAGAUGAGUCGAGGGUUUUGAAGAGAGUUAAAGGGAGCUUCUCUGAUCAGGAGAACACAGUUGUUUGUGUCCUUGACAAUUUUGAUGGUAACUCAAUGAAAGUGGCUGAAUUGCUGGUUGAGAAUGGAUUCAAGGAGGCUUAACUUGAAGCUUUCCUACGCAAUGUUGUUUGUUUUGAUAAUUAUCAGAUAUUGUUGAUAGUCAUGCGUGUUUAUUUCUUCAAAGUUUGUGGCCUUACGGAUUUCACUUCCUUUUCUACCUGUUCAGUGCUGUUACAGGUGAGAAUGUGCACGUAUCUUUUGCUGGUUUAUGGACCUGUAAGGAGCCACCUCGGUUUCCCUGCUUGGAGACUUCGAUACACUGAGAUAGUGUAUGUGCUUUGUACUCUUCUUUUUCUGAAAUUCCUAAUCAUCAACACGUAUAUAUUCAGAGCUAAAUCUCAUCAAGUUUGUCUUUUUGCGGUAUUUGUUUGUUGAUAGACAUAUAGGAUCGUUGAAGUAUGUGAGAUAUGGUUUUCUUUUGAAGGCAAUCCACACAAAAAGUUAAUUUU